rnacentral:lncRNA from 10 species
ACUGGGCAUGACUCUCUCUCUUGAGUAGGCACACACUCCCUUUUCUCGGGUGUGUACUUUUUGCUUUGUGAUACAUCUCUGCACUUUCAGUAUUUUCCAACUCAUCCUUAAAUUCCUUCUCACAACAGUGUCAAGAGCCUGGACGCCAGCCAGGAUUGAGGUCCUACGGGUGUUUGGGGACCUCCCCAAGCCCACGAGUAUCAAUGGCAGUAUCAAUUGUCUGUGACAGUGAUUAAGGAGCAAAACACUUGAACCCACAAGACUCCCAGAAGGUGAAGUUAAGAGCUCCCAGACUCAUAAGGUUAUUAGAACAGCAAACUGGCACCCCAAAGAACUUUACGGAGACUUGCAACCUAUCAACAAGUUGGAUGAGGGAUUAAAAGCCUUCAACAACCAACAACCCCAAGCAUCAAACUGAAGGAAACAUUCUAACCUUCACAGACAGACUGGAGGCUGGAUGGGGACCUGGCUGAAGACAUCUGGAGAAUGAAAGUUAAGUACCAGCUUGCAUUUUUGUGCCCCUAGAUUAUUUUUGCAUUUUAAAAUAAGAAGCAUCAAAUUGCGUGUCUCUGUGUAAAAGUUCUAGCAAUUUGUUUUAAGGUGAACUUAUUUUGGCUUAGGGACUACAAAAAGAGAAGGUAAUUCCUAGGGAAGGAAGAAGAGAAAGAAAUGAAAAUUAGAGAAUAAGAUUAUUUUGAAUGACUUCAGGUAGCGAGGAGUGUGUGUUUGUGAGUGUGUAUUUGAGAGACUUGGCUCAUGCCUGUGGGUCUUCUCUUCUAGUAUCAGUGAGGGGAGGGAUUACUGAAGAAGAAGGGGGGAAAAAAAAAGAAAGAAAUCUGAGCUUUCUG